GAUGAACGCUGGCGGCGUGCCUAAUACAUGCAAGUCGAGCGAACAGACGAGGAGCUUGCUCCUCUGACGUUAGCGGCGGACGGGUGAGUAACACGUGGAUAACCUACCUAUAAGACUGGGAUAACUUCGGGAAACCGGAGCUAAUACCGGAUAAUAUAUUGAACCGCAUGGUUCAAUAGUGAAAGACGGUUUUGCUGUCACUUAUAGAUGGAUCCGCGCCGCAUUAGCUAGUUGGUAAGGUAACGGCUUACCAAGGCAACGAUGCGUAGCCGACCCGAGAGGGGGGUCGGCCGCACCUGAACUGGAACCCCGUCCAGACUCCUACGGGAGGCAGCAGUAGGGAAUCUUCCGCAAUGGGCGAAAGCCUGACGGAGCAACGCCGCGUGAGUGAUGAAGGUCUUCGGAUCGUAAAACUCUGUUAUUAGGGAAGAACAAAUGUGUAAGUAACUAUGCACGUCUUGACGGUACCUAAUCAGAAAGCCACGGCUAACUACGUG
rnacentral:rRNA from 1 species